UACAACAUUGUAAAAAAAGCAUAGAAUGGAUGCCUUGACUCAAAACUCCGAUGAAGGACGCGGCCAGCUGCGAUAAGCUUCGGCGAGCUGCUAAGCAAGCUUUGACCCGGAGAUUUCCGAAUGGGGAAACCUUACAAGAGUUAUGUCUUGUAACCUCGAAAGAGGUGGACACUAGGGGAACUGAAACAUCUAAGUACCCUGGAUAAAAGAAAUCAAUAGAGAUUCCCGUAGUAGCGGCGAGCGAACCGGGAUCAGCCCAAACCUUAUCCUUCGGGAUAGGGGGUUGUAGGACCUCAAUACGAGGCCUUCUCCUAUUAGCCAAACGACCCUGGAAAGGGCGGCCAAAGAGGGUGAUAGCCCCGUCGGCGAAAAUAGGGAAGAUCUCCAGAGUGUUCCUGAGUAGGGUCGGACACGUGAAAUCCGGCCUGAAUCUGGGAAGACCACUUUCCAAGGCUAAAUAAGUUUUGAGAUCGAUAGUGAACAAGUACCAUGAGGGAAAGGUGAAAAGCACCCCAGAUAGGGGAGUGAAAUAGAACCUGAAAUUCUUUGCUUAAAAUGAGUCGGAGCCCUUCGGGGUGACGGCCUACUUUUUGUAGAACGGACCAACGAGUUAGCUGUAUGAUGCAAGCUUAAGGAAGUUUAAAUCCGUAGGCGUAGCGAAAGCGAGUCUUAACCGGCGCCAAGUAUCAUGCACUAGACCCGAAACGGGGUGAGCUACCCAUGGGCAGGAUGAAAAUAGGGUAAAACCUAUUGGAGGUCCGAACCAACCGGUAUUGCAAGACCGGUGGAUGACCUGUGGGUAGGAGAGAAAUUCUUAUCGAACUCCGAGAUAGCUGGUUCUCUUCGAAAUAGCUUUCGGGCUAGCCUCGAUUAUACGUUUGGGGGGUAGAGCACUAUUUAGGCUAGGGGGCAAAAUCCGUCUACCAAACCUAGAUAAACUCCGAAUACCCAAACUUGAGAUCGGGAGUCAGACGGUGACAGCUAAGUGCCAUCGUCAAGAGGGUAACAGCCCAGAUCGUCAUCUAAGGUCCCUAAUAGAAACUUAGUGGUAAAGGAUGUGAGGAUGCGUAUACAACCAGGAGGUUGGCUUAGAAGCAGCCAUUCCUUUAAAGAGUGCGUAACAGCUCACUGGUCUAUGCGUUCUUGCGCCGAAAAUGUAACGGGUCUCAUGUUUCUAACCGAAGAUGCGAAUUUAUAUUUAUAUAAAUGGUAGAAGAGCGUUCGUAGCAGCAGUGAAGUCAGACUGGGAAGUCUGGUGGAGCGCUAUGAAGUGCAAAUGUUGGUAUAAGUAACGUCAGGAGAGUGAAAAACUCUCCCACCGAAAACCCAAGGUUUCCCAAGCCACGUUAAUCGACUUGGGGUUAGUCGGUCCUAAGGUCCAGGCGAAAGCCGUAAACUGAUGGACAUCAGGUUAAUAUUCCUGAACAAGAUGCAAAUCGUCCAAGCAAAGCUGGAUUGACGAUAUUCGUGAGUCAAAGCCCUUCGGGGCCGCGAUGAAUGAACAUCCGAUUGAAAGUGGCGCUAGAUCCGGGGGGACGCCGCAGGAUAAUCCGAGCGCAUUAAGAAUUUGCGUUCAAGUGGUAAGCUUAUGCUUGUGUAGGUAAAUCCGCACAGGUUCGCGAUCCAUUAUGUAAAGGCGCCGCAAGGUGCUGAUUCGGGUGAAUUCAGCGGACGAGAAAAUCCUCGUUUCGAGAGUUGCAUCUUACCGUACCGCAAACCAACGCUGGUGGGUAGGUAGAGUAUACUAAGGUGAUCGAGAUAACUGCGCUUAAGGAACUCGGCAAAACAGCAGGCGUAACUUCGGGAUAAGCCUUGCCUGCACCAUGAGAUUAUAUCAACUCGGUGUAGGCCGCAGCGAAUGAACUCCUGCAACUGUUUAUCAAAAACACAAGUUCGUGCAAAGUCGUAAGACGAUGUAUACGAGCUGACCCCUGCCCAGUGCCAGAAGGUCAAGAGGAGAGGUGUAUGCUUCGAAUCUAAGCCCUGGUGAACGGCGGCCGUAACUAUAACGGUCCUAAGGUAGCGAAAUUCCUUGUCGGGUAAGUUCCGACCCGCACGAAUGGGGUAAUGAUGGGAGUACUGUCUCGAGCGCAGACUCGGUGAAAUUACAAUACGGGUAAAAAUGCCCAUUAGAUAUGGCAGGACGAAAAGACCCCGUGCAGCUUUACUAUAGUCUGACAUUGAUUCAGGGCACUACUUGUGCAGCAUAGGUGGGAGACGUUGAAGCCAGGGCGUAAGCCUUGGUGGAGUCAUCAGUGAGAUACCACCCUUGUUUUGCUUUGAAUCUAACCCCCACUGGGGGAACAGUGUUUGAUGGGUAGUUUAACUGGGGCGGUUGCCUCCUAAAGAGUAACGGAGGCGCGCAAUUGGUUCACUAAGGUCGGAUGGAAACCGAUCUCGUCGUGUAUUCGCACAAGUGAGCUUGACUGCAAGGCCUACAAGCCGAGCAGGUACGAAAGUAGGUGAAAAUGAUCCGGUACCACCAUGUGGGUGGGGUAUCGCUCAACGGAUAAAAGUUACGCCGGGGAUAACAGGCUAGUCUGGUCCAAGAGUCCACAUCGACGACCAGGUUCGGCACCUCGAUGUCGGCUCGUCGCAUCCUGGGGGUGGAGAAGCUCCCAAGGGUUUGGCUGUUCGCCAAUUAAAGCGGUACGCGAGCUGGGUUCAAAACGUCGUGAGACAGUUUGGCCUCUAUCCGCCAUAUCUGAAGGAAAAUUGAAGGAAGUUGUCCCUAGUACGAGAGGACCGGGAUGAACGAACCUCUAGUGUACCUGUUGUCGCGUCCGCGGCAUUGCAGGGUAGCUAUGUUCGGUCUGGAUAACCGCUGAAAGCAUCUAAGCGGGAAGCCAGUCCUAAGAAAAUUUUCCCUAUGAACCUCCUUGUAGACUACAAGGUUGAUAGGCCGCAGGUGUACGCACAGCGAUGUGUUCAGCCGAGCGGUACUAACAGGUCACUGAUGUUGUUAA
rnacentral:rRNA from 1 species